GGAUGUGAGGGUGAUCUGGCUGCAACAUCUGUCACCCCACUGAUCGCCAGGGCUGAUUGGGCUGAUCUGGCUGGCUAGGCGGGUGUCCCCUCCUCUCUCACCGUUCCAUAUGCGUCCCUCCUGGAGCUGCGCGAUCUCGGUUGGUCGGUGGAAGAGGACAACCUUCCCUGAAUAGAGGAGGACCGAUCUUUGGUCAAGGGUAUACAAGUAGCUGUGCUCUCCUGCUAGAACCUCCAAACAAGCUCUCAAAAGUAUAGACCUUGAACUACAGGUAGCAGCUGCCAAUGCUGGCAGCUUAUGCAAACUUGGACUUGAGUAGGAUCACCUGUAAAGGGAUGUUU
ensembl:misc_RNA 7SK 7SK RNA